GGAAGAUGUAACGCUGUGAUUACUUCGAUCACUGGGGACAAGGAACCAUGGUCACGGUGUCGGCAGAUCCCGAUACAUGCCCCUCUGUUUUUCCCAUCGCACCUUGCUGCUCAGCGUUGGAUGGCAGACCAGUAAAUAUUGGUUGUCGGGUCACAGGUCUCUCAGAUCCAAAUACUUACGCAUCAUGGGAAUCAUCUUCUGGUCAAGUUACAGGACCACAAGUAAAGGAGUAUCCAAGUGUUUUUGGCCGUGGCAGUUACUCAUCAUAUACUUUGUUAAAUGUAUCUUCUAACGAUUUCAAAAGCAAGAGCUACAAGUGUAAAUUAAACAGAAUUGUUAAAGCUGUUCCAGUGUGUCAGAAGCCACAGGUAUUAAAAGUCAAAGUGUAUGCAGGCAAGUGUGCAUCAGAUUUUAAGGAACUAAUCUGCCUAGUUGAUGACCAUUUCCCUAAAGAUGUGUCCAUUAUUUGGACAGUGAAUGAAGAACCAGUUUCAGCAAGCAAUAAAACUGUUGUGAAAGAAGAAAGUGGUUUUUACAAAACCCGAAGUACUAUAAUGUUAAAAAUGGACAAGUGGUUUGCUGGGCAUGAUAUCACCUGCAAGGCUACAACCUCCAAGCAUGGAGAUACAGUUCCGAUAUCCAAAACCGACACGAUUAAAAGCUGUGCAGCAUACGCAGCUGAGGUGUCCAUUUUGAAACUCUCACUUCAAGAUCUAUUUACGAAAAACUAUGUCACUGCUACAUGUGUUGUAAAGGCAUAUCCACUACAAGGAGUGGAAAUUAUCUGGAAAACUGAUGAGAAAAUUAUUAAUAAAACUGUGGAAAACAAUUUCUGUUCUGAAAAUGAGAUUAAAACUAUUAGAUAUACUGUCAAUAUACCUACCAGUGACUGGAAAGCCAAGAAGCCAUAUGUCUGUGAAGCAAAACACCAUUGUUUCAAAUCUUCCUUUGAAGCCAAAAUCACGAGGCAUGAAGUGAAAACAUCACCUUCCUUGUCCAUCUUGGGCCCAUUUUCUGACAAGAAUCAGCAGCAACAUUUCCUGCUCUGUAUGAUAAAUGGAUAUUUUCCUAACGGGAUAUACGUUAAAUGGCAGAAGAAUGGUGAGGAUGUUCCUGCAUUACGUUAUACAAACACCGAACCACAGUGUGUGACGGCAAAUCAGAAAUGCUCUGCUCAGAGCAAGUUGGACAUUCCACAAAGUGACAGAAACACUGAUGCCAAUUAUACCUGUAUGGUUGGGUAUGACCCUGAAAAGCCAAUGGAAAAUGCAACUAUUAUGGAUCCAUUUGUGUCUUUCACAUUACAGUGUCCAAAAGCUGAAGUCCUCUUCCUAGUAGAUGAAAAUCAGGAUGGCAAACUGAUCAGCUUAGCUUGCAGUGCCUUUGACUUUAGUCCAGAGGAUAUUAAUAUAACAUGGCUGUCAAACGGUACACAAGUAAUCCCAAGCAGGAAGGAGGCAACACUAAAAAUGCAUAAUGGGAAAUAUGCCACCAGUGCAAAAAUAAAUGUCUCCAUGGAAGAGUGGAAUGAAGGAAAACUAUAUGAAUGUAUGGUUUCUCUGUCAUCAUGUGACAACAUUUCAAGGAUUAUCUCUAAAUCAGCCUGGAUACCCCCAACACCACCAUCUCUCCAAGUCCAAGUAAAUUCAUGUGAAAAAGGAAACACAACAGUGAGUUUAAUAUGCCUGAUUUCCAACUUUAGCCCAAAAGAAAUUGAAGUUAAAUGGUUUUCAAAUGGGACGCUUAUGUCAUCUAACAACAAAUACAUGACAGGACAUGGUAUCCAGUUUCAGAUGACAAGCACUGUGACAGUCCCAGCUGACGAGUGGAACAAAUGGUAUAACUAUACGUGUCGAGCCUGGCAUGCUUCAACAAACUCUUCAAAAGAAGAAACCAUUAAUAAAUGCACAGGUGAGAGUGAAAUUGCAACAUUUUUUGUAGUACAUUCUGAUAUUAACAGUGCAGUAAACGUAUACUGUUCUGUGUACAGCUCUGGUAUUGUUUCUGGUCAGACAGGCAUGACCUUACAUUCUUUGAGUUGUGUAAUGUAA